rnacentral:rRNA from 1 species
ACUCCUACGGGAGGCAGCAGUGGGGAAUAUUGCACAAUGGGCGCAAGCCUGAUGCAGCCAUGCCGCGUGUGUGAAGAAGGCCUUCGGGUUGUAAAGCACUUUCAGUGUGAGGAAGGUGGUGGUCGUUAAUAGCGGCAUCAUUUGAUCGUUAUGCAACAGAAGAAGACACCGGCUAACGUCCGUGCCAGCAGCCGCGGUAAUACGGAGGGUGCGAGCGUUAAUCGGAAUUACUGGGCGUAAAGCGCAUGCAGGUGGUUUGUUAAGUCAGAUGUGAAAGCCCGGGGCUCAACCUCGGAACUUGCAUUUGAAACAUGGCAGACUAGAGUACUGGGUAG